GGUAACGUCGGGGCAUCGGGCUAGGUAAGAGGAGUGGUGCAAGCGGUACUCGUAAUUAGUGGGCGGAAAGCGGUCGGUGGUGGUGCGUGAAGUCGGGCGUGAAAGCCCCGGGCUCAACAUGGGAAUGGCGAUGGAUACUGGCGGGCUAGAGUGCGGGAGAGGAGAGUGGAAUUCCCGGUGUAGCAGUGAAAUGCGUAGAGAUCGGGAGGAACAUCAGUUGCGAAGGCGGCUCUCUGGACCAGCACUGACACUGAGUCACGAAAGCGUGGGGAGCAAACAGGAUUAGAUACCCCUGUAGUC
rnacentral:rRNA from 1 species